UUCGCCCUUAGAGUUUGAUCCUGGCUCAGAACGAACGCUGGCGGCAUGCCUAACACAUGCAAGUCGAACGAAGGCUUCGGCCUUAGUGGCGCACGGGUGCGUAACGCGUGGGAAUCUGCCCUUAGGUUCGGAAUAACAGCUGGAAACGGCUGCUAAUACCGGAUGAUAUCGCGAGAUCAAAGAUUUAUCGCCUGAGGAUGAGCCCGCGUCGGAUUAGGUAGUUGGUGGGGUAAAGGCCUACCAAGCCGACGAUCCAUAGCUGGUCUGUGAGGAUGAUCAGCCACACUGGGACUGAGACACGGCCCAGACU
rnacentral:rRNA from 1 species